GACGAACCGUGCGAACGUUGUUCGGAAUCACUGGGCUUAAAGGGCGCGUAGGCGGGCGGUCAAGUCCGGGGUGAAAUCUUUCGGCUCAACCGGAAAAGGGCCUUGGAUACUGGUUUGCUAGAGGGAGGUAGGGGUCUGUGGAACUUCUGGUGGAGCGGUGAAAUGCGUUGAUAUCAGAAGGAACGCCGGUGGCGAAAGCGACGGACUGGAUCUCUUCUGACGCUGAUGCGCGAAAGCCAGGGGAGCAAACGGG
rnacentral:rRNA from 1 species